CCCAACCCAUGUGAACUUAUCUCUUGUUGCCUCGGCGCAAGCGACCCGGGCCCAGCCCGGGGCGCCCGCCGGCGGACACACCAAACUCUGUUAUCUUCGUUGAUUAUCUGAGUGUCUUAUUUAAUAAGUCAAAACUUUCAACAACGGAUCUCUUGGUUCUGGCAUCGAUGAAGAACGCAGCGAAAUGCGAUAAGUAAUGUGAAUUGCAGAAUUCAGUGAAUCAUCGAAUCUUUGAACGCACAUUGCGCCCAUUAGUAUUCUAGUGGGCAUGCCUGUUCGAGCGUCAUUUCAACCUCUAAGCACAGCUUACUGUUGGGAAUCUACGUCUGUAGUUCCUCAAAGACAUUGGCGGAGCGGCAGUAGUCCUCUGAGCGUAGUAAUUUUUUAUCUCGCUUCUGUUAGGCGCUGUCGUCCCGGCCGUUAAACCCCCAAUUUUUUCUGGUUGACCUCGGAUCAGGUA
rnacentral:rRNA from 1 species